GUCGUCUAGUUCUUGGGAAGGAAGGAUUUAUACAAUGCUACCGGGAUUAUUGCAUGCUGUACUUAUUUUGCCUGGAUGAUUUUAUGCUGUUCCUGUUACCCAGCGGAGAUACCGUGGAUUAAACUACCUCUCCGCUACAAUAGGUAUUGUAAUUUAGGUAAAAUAAUCAUUUUGACCGCAGCUAUUUUACCUAACCACGAGAUGUAUUUACCUUUCCACCCUGUUAACAGCGUUUUUAUAUCAGAUAAUGUUUUUUGGUAAUUUGUUUUAUAUAGUUGGGUUGGUGUCGGGGUGAUGUUAAUUCCUAGGAAUUUUAGGUGGUCGGUUCUCCAGUCAUAGUUAAAGGAGCUGCGCAGACGCUCUAAUGCAUCCGUGGGAAUAUUUAUGCCCAUAGCUUGGGUUUUGGUAACGUUUAACUUGUAGUGUGAGCAUUUGCUGUAAUGGGAUAGGAUAGAAUGGAAGUUUGGCAAGGAUAUAUGUGGUUGACCUCUUGCUAUUUUAACCAGAAAAAUUGUGCAAGACUGCAGGACACAGUCCUUGUAUACUGACGUCAGUGCAUAGCGAUAUAAUUGCACUGUGUUGUGAUGAUGUCCUUUUGCAUCAGAAAAUCUCAUCAGUGGCCAGGUUACCAAGUUACUACAUAGAAGGCUAUAUUCAACAACACAAGAGUCCUGAUCUCAGUCUCUCCAUGGCCUAGAAGAUUGCCACUGUAUGUGUUGAAAUAGAA